GUGGGGAAUCUUGCGCAAUGGGCGAAAGCCUGACGCAGCCAUGCCGCGUGAAUGAUGAAGGUCUUAGGAUUGUAAAAUUCUUUCACCGGGGACGAUAAUGACGGUACCCGGAGAAGAAGCUCCGGCUAACUUCGUGCCAGCAGCCGCGGUAAUACGAAGGGGGCUAGCGUUGCUCGGAAUUACUGGGCGUAAAGGGCGCGUAGGCGGACAGCUUAGUCAGAGGUGAAAGCCCAGGGCUCAACCUUGGAAUUGCCUUUGAUACUGGCUGUCUUGAGUGUGGGAGAGGUGAGUGGAACUCCGAGUGUAGAGGUGAAAUUCGUAGAUAUUCGGAAGAACACCAGUGGCGAAGGCGACUCACUGGCCCAAUACUGACGCUGAGGCGCGAAAGCGUGGGGAGCAAACAGGAUUAGAUACCCGUGUAGUCU
rnacentral:rRNA from 1 species